UUCGGCCACUGCUACUAGUGUUCGGUUUAUUGCUUAGAGCUUGUGGUUGGUUGGUUUAUCUGAUUGUUUGUGGCAAAUUAAGAUGUGUAUGAUUUAUAUGACUUGGAAAAGUAUCAAGUAAUUGGAUUGGUUGAAUUCGGUUGCGAAAUUAAGAUCUCUCGGUGGGAUCAAUUAGUGUAUUGAAUAUAUGUAAGAGGCUUCCACUAUGGGGGGUUAUCCUUAACACUCUAACGGUCUUUCAUUCUCACUUAGAGAGGAUUGACGCGUGUGGUGAGAGUAGUGGGAGGUCCUAGGGUAGGCGCUUUCACUGUAGGCCUAUACUGCGGUAACGGACCAGCCUUGUGUAUGGUCGGGUGGAACCCCUCGGCAAUGGCUUUGCAAAGCAGUAGGGCCAUCACAAGUGCACAACCCGCCCCAGCUCUAUAUACAUUCUAUGUCCGGACAUGUCUAGGAGUCUUAACAUGACAUGAUGGUUGCUUUAGUGAGUUUUGUGAAAUCAAUGUUUAUGUUUAUGAUGACUUAUAUGUUUAAGUGUGUAUGAACGUUCUUGCAAUGAAUUGUAUGAUUGUUUGAGACCUAGCUCACCCUUGCACUUGCAUGUUUGUAUGUGUUUGUCUUCCCCCUUGCGAUGAUCAUCCAAUCCUUUAGAUGUGAGCAGUAGGUGAUGAGGUACCCUUGGAGCAGGCGUGAGAGACUGAGGAAGAUCCAGCACCUAGUGCUUAGGCGAUCAUGUUGUUUUAUUUCUUUU
rnacentral:lncRNA from 1 species